rnacentral:rRNA from 1 species
CGGGAAUUCGAUUCAGGCCUAACACAUGCAAGUCGAGGGUCUGUUUUAGCAAUAGAGCAGGCACUGGCAUCCGGGUGAGUAACGCGUAGGUGAUCUACCCCUAUCACAGACAUAACAGUUCUAACGGACUGCUAAUAUCUGAUGAGGCGAGUAAUCGUCAAAGCUUUGGCGGAUAGGGAUGAGCCUGCGUCUGAUUAGGUAGUUGGUGAGGUAACGGCUCGCCAAGCCGACGAUCAGUGGCUGGUCUGAGAGGACGAACAGCCACACUGGAACUGAGACACGGUCCAGACUCCUACGGGAGGCAGCAGUGAGGAAUAUUGGUCAAUGGGCACAAGCUUGAAAGAGCGACGCCGCGUGCGGGAUGAAGGGGCUC